UGGGGAAUUUUGUACAAUGGGCGCAAGCCUGAUCCAGCCAUGCCGCGUGAGCGAUGAAGCCCUUCGGGGCGUAAAGCUCUUUCGACCGGAACGAUAAUGACGGUACCGGGAGAAGAAGCUGCGGCUAACUACGUGCCAGCAGCCGCGGUAAUACGUAGGCAGCAAGCGUUGUUCGGAGUUACUGGGCGUAAAGAGUGCGUAGGCGGUUUUCUAAGUUCGGUGUGAAAUCUCCCGGCUUAACUGGGAGGGUGCGCCGAAGACUGGGAAGCUGGAGUGUGGGAAAGGCAGGCGGAAUUCCUGGUGUAGCGGUGAAAUGCGUAGAUAUCAGGAGGAACACCUGCGGUGUAGACGGCUUGCUAGACCAUAACUGACGCUGAGGCACGAAAGCGUGGGUAGCAAACA
rnacentral:rRNA from 1 species